rnacentral:rRNA from 1 species
UUGGGAAGGACUUUUGUCCGUUUAGAAAACCGCUUCUCUAAUAGAGGGGCGGGAUGACGGUACCGGAAGAAUAAUCACCGGCUAACUACGUGCCAGCAGCCGCGGUAAUACGUAGGGUGCAAGCGUUAAUCGGAAUUACUGGGCGUAAAGCGUGCGCAGGCGGUUCGCUAAGACCGAUGUGAAAUCCCCGGGCUUAACCUGGGAACUGCAUUGGUGACUGGCGGGCUAGAGUAUGGCAGAGGGGGGUAGAAUUCCACGUGUAGCAGUGAAAUGCGUAGAGAUGUGGAGGAAUACCGAUGGCGAAGGCAGCCCCCUGGGCCAAUACUGACGCUCAUGCACGAAAGCGUGGGGAGCAAACAGGAUUAGAUACCCUGGUAGUCCACGCCCUAAACGAUGUCAACUAGUUGUCGGGUCUUCAUUGCCUUGGUAACGAAGCUAACGCGUGAAGUUGACCGCCUGGGGAGUACGGUCGCAAGAUUAAAACUCAAAGGAAUUGACGGAAGCUCCAAGGAAUUGACGGAACCUCACAAAGAUAUGAAG